rnacentral:rRNA from 1 species
GACGAACGCUGGCGGCGUGCUUAACACAUGCAAGUCGAACGGAAAGGCCCUGCUUUUGUGGGGUGCUCGAGUGGCGAACGGGUGAGUAACACGUGAGUAACCUGCCCUUGACUUUGGGAUAACUUCAGGAAACUGGGGCUAAUACCGGAUAGGAGCUCCUGCUGCAUGGUGGGGGUUGGAAAGUUUCGGCGGUUGGGGAUGGACUCGCGGCUUAUCAGCUUGUUGGUGGGGUAGUGGCUUACCAAGGCUUUGACGGGUAGCCGGCCUGAGAGGGUGACCGGCAACAUGGGGACUGGGAUAGGGCCCGGACUCCUACGGGAGGAAGCGGUGGGGAAUAUUGCAAAAGGGGCGGAGGCCGGAUGCAGCAACGCCGCGUGCGGGAUGACGGCCUUCGGGUUGUAAACCGCUUUCGCCUGUGACGAAGCGUGAGUGACGGUAAUGGGGAAAGAAGCACCGGCUAACUACGU